rnacentral:rRNA from 1 species
UGACGGUAUUCAACCAGAAAGUCACGGCUAACUACGUGCCAGCAGCCGCGGUAAUACGUAGGUGGCAAGCGUUAUCCGGAUUUAUUGGGCGUAAAGAGAGCGCAGGCGGUUUAAUAAGUCUGAAGUUAAAGGCAGUGGCUCAACCAUUGUUCGCUUUGGAAACUGUUAAACUUGAGUGCAGAAGGGGAGAGUGGAAUUCCAUGUGUAGCGGUGAAAUGCGUAGAUAUAUGGAGGAACACCGGUGGCGAAAGCGGCUCUCUGGUCUGUAACUGACGCUGAGGCUCGAAAGCGUGGGUAGCGAACAGGAUUAGAUACCCUG